rnacentral:rRNA from 1 species
AUGCCCUACAUACCAGCAGACGUCACAAACCUAAAGGAAAAGUACCAUAGAGAGAGCAGGUUGGCUGACAUAGAAGACGCAAUCGCCUACUUCAAAGAGAAAGCAAAAGCAGAUCCUGAUUUCUUCUACAGGAUAAGAUUGGACGAUGAGGGCCGUGUCAGAAACAUGUAUUGGGUGGAUGGUGCUGCAAGAAGAGCCUACAAACAUUUCCGUGAUUGCAUUUCGUUCGACGCGACAUAUCUCACGAAUAUGUACAAGAUGCCCUGUGCUCCAUUCAUAGGAAUAAAUAACCAUAAUCAGUCCUUGCAGUUCGGUUGCGGUCUCGUUCGGAACGAAGAUACAGAUAGUUACACUUGGCUGUUCAAAACCUUCUUGGAGUGCAUGGAUGGAAUUGCUCCGAUGAACAUAAUAACAGACCAGGAUUUUAGCAUGCGUGCAGGCAUAGAGGAGGUCUUUCCGUUGGCAGUGCACAGGCACUGCAGGUGUCAUAUUAUUAAUGAAAGGAUUGAUAUAGUUGACUAG